AAAUUCGACGAAGCGGGGGACAACGCCUGCAUCAAUAACUUUUUGAAUUGGUGGGUUUGUCUCCUUAGACAAAGCCUUUCGAAACUUGGCAGUAGCUUGAAUUUGUGCCUCUAUGUCAUCCGAAUACAACGCCUUCAAUAAAUCAGGUAAUUGAAGCUCCAACUCUAAAUCAUUUUCCUUAUCUUGUUCUAAUGGAAUAGUUUCUUCGGCAGGCUCUUGAACAUCAACCAGAUUACGACGCUUGUUCAAAUUUUCCUCACGUUUUUGUUUACGGAUUUCGAUUUGCUGGGUUUCACGUCUGCGGCGUAACUCAUCAGCCUGAAAUGUACCUUUACCUUUGUAAUUCUGUCUUCUGUGUUCAGGAAUAAAGCGAGAAGAUGCACUCAUGUUCAAUUCCUUUAGUUACUCGUUCUCUAAACGUAUGGCGAAGGAUACGUCUACACUUGGCUGAUUUCCUGUCAUGGACCAGUUCAUCAAUCGUUCGUAAUGAUUAU